GUCCACGUCGGCCCUUGGUGUCACAAGUUUCAUACAGACGAGGCAUUUCGGCGGCCACACUUAACUCCUCUAGGCUUGAAUUUAUGAGCAUUUCCUAGUAAUCUUAUCUUGAGAGGGAGAUAGGAUAUUUACACCAAGGACAAACAAGUGCAGUGCGAUGAAGGUGCAUGAGGACGCAUGCACUGUAGUGUGGAGAGCGUACCAAGAUCAUAAAGAGCAUCUGUAAGACCCUGAAACAAAUAAUUUGUUUAUUUAUUUAAUUUUAUUGUAUUAAUUAAUUAAGUGUUUAUAUUUUAUUAUUUUUAUUGUUUUUGUGUUUAUUAUUUUGGUAAAAUCUGAUUUUCUUUCUCUCUCCAAGUGGACCCCACCCCAAUCAGGUUUACUCUCUCACUCUCCCUCCCUCACGCACGCUCUCACUCUUUCUCUCUUCCUCACGCUCGACAUCUUCUUCUUCUCCCUCUCUACCAUCUUCUUCUUUUACUGGUUACCACAGCAACCCAUGGUUCCUUCUCAUGGCCAGCCACCACCACCACAUCCUUCUCACUCCCUCUGCUCACGCGAACCGCCACCGGUCACGCCACCAUCACUGCGUUUUCUUCUUCUUCCCAUGAGAGCCACCAUGAACGAACCGCCACCACCUUGGCCUCUCCUUCGCGCGCACCACCACCGUCCUCCUGCUGGCCCAGCCGCGAGCACCAUCAUCACCAACAUGAUGAGAAAUAACAGAGAAAUAGAGGAGAAACCAAACCCUAGCCGCCACCUUCAACCUCCGAUCUCCGGCGAACCGCUCACCUUUUGGAGAAACCAACACCAUGGCUAAACUCCCCUCAUCAUCCGCUUCAAAACCCCUCAAUCAAUUUGACGAUCGGUCACCGUCACUCCGGCGACCGCCGCCACCACCGCCACCGACGUUUCUCCGGCGAGCUUUGUUCUGAGAAAGAAGACCAAUUUCUUGAAGCCUUUGAUCUCCUCUACUUGAAUCCAAAGCCAAAUCAUUACUAAGAGCUUUGUUGAUCAUAAGUAGAGGGGGUAGCCACGGCCAGAAAAGAGGAAGAAGCAAAGUUCAGAGACUUGAGGUAGAAGGAGGAAUACAUAAGUAUCAUGUGCUUAAAUUGAUCCUGGCUUUGCCUUGGAUAGUUUUGGGGAUAGCCCUAGGAAUAUAUAUAUAUAUAUAUAUAUAUAUAUAUAUAUAUAUAUAUAUAUAUAUAUAUGCUUCCAUGUACCAAGUUGUAUUUGUAUCAUUUCAAAACUUAUGCUACUGCUGUAUUUGUUCAGUUUUGCGAACUCGUGGAUAAAAAAGUGUUAAGGUUUUUAGAAUGACAAACUCGUCACAAUUUAUGAACUAUUGAACUCGUUCUUAAGCUGUGUUAGAAAAUGAAUUUGAAGAAGUUGUCUUCGUAAGAA